rnacentral:rRNA from 1 species
UACGGAGGAGGCAAGCGUUAUCCGGAAUUAUUGGGCGUAAAGCGUCCGUAGGUGGUUUAGUAAGUCUGCUGUUAAAGCGCGGGGCUUAACUCCGUAUCGGCAGUGGAAACUACUAGACUAGAGUGUGGUAGGGGUAGAGGGAAUUCCCAGUGUAGCGGUGAAAUGCGUAGAUAUUGGGAAGAACACCGGUGGCGAAAGCGCUCUACUGGGCCAUAACUGACACUGAUGGACGAAAGCUAGGGGAGCGAAAGGG